UUGAGUUAAAUGGAAAAGAUUUUUAAAUAUCUUAAGAUCUUUAUGGCAGUUUUAAAACAAGGUCACAUAUUCGUUGACACUCCAGCCGUUGAAACGAGGGGUCUUUAUCCCCUCCUCUUGAAUAUAGACGGGGCUUGUGAUUCUUUGACCAAUCAAGUGGCAGUGAACCCUAUGUGACUUCCGAGGUUAGAUCACAAAAGGCCACACAGCUUCCACCUUGCUACAGGAACACUUGCUCUUAGUGCUGGGAGGUCAUGUAAGAAGUCUGACUACCCUGAGGUCACAUUGCUAGAGAGACCAUAUGUAGGCAUUCUGGAUGACAGUCCCAGCUAAGCCCAGCCUUCCGGCCAUUCCCCCAAAGUAUGAGCCAUAGGAGUGACCAUUUGGGGUUCAGCUGGGUGAUCCUUCUCUUCUACAUGGUGUUAAUGGAAGUCACUUGGUGGAACUGGAGAAUGAACUAGCUGGAGGAAUGGACUAGCUGAUUCUUGCCCAAAUUCCUGACCCGCAAAACUGUGAGAUGCAAUUAAAAAAAGUUUUAAGCCAGUAAGUUUUGGAGUAGUUUGCUAUGUAGCAACAUGGAACAAGACCCCUCUGCCUGCACCCCCUGAAAGAACAGAGAGACAUAAGAGAAUAAAAAAUUCAUAUAGCUGCUGAAUGGGGGUCUCAUAUUCUGUGAGUAGAAGAAAGAAUUGGGCAUUAUAUAACCUAAACACAGGAAUAUGGACCAUGAGAGCCAUCAGACCACCCUACAUGGAGGGUCAUAAUAUAAUAGAUCAAAAACCUGUCCCAUCAAUGUCCUCAACAAGAAUCCAAUCAUUGUUCCAGCUGAAGUUCUCCACUCUUACGGAAUUUCAACUAGCAAAGAAGAUAUGCUACAAAAUUGCUUGAAAUGGCAUAAUUAUUUCCUUGAUGGUUAAACAUCUUUCAACUCUAAAGAUUUAGAAUUAAAAAUAGAAAUGCCUAAGUAAUAAAAACCACAGUAUUACUAUUUGUUUUAAUGAAUCUGGGCAUUUUUAAUAUUUUAUGUACUUAUGAUGUUCAUAAGAAUUUGGUCAAUUAGAGUAACAGAUCAGCCUUGUAAUUCUAAUUGAAAAUGUAUAAUUGAGUAAUUAAUUUAGACUUGUAAUUUCACAAUGAAAUCUUAUUAAGUUUAUGAACAGUUUGAGCACAUUUAAGGGAAUUCAAGUUUCUCAAAUAUUAUGUUAGAUUUUUUAAUAUUUUUAGAUAUUACUUGGAAAGGUUUCUUUUAGUUAAGUCACAUAGUUUGUGUACCAAAUGAAUUUAAAAUAUUUGAAGACAUUUUACUAAGUUCCCAAAAUGGGAUGAACAUUGUUUAAAGCCAAUAUAUUUCCUAAUUUAAAUGCCUUACAAAAGAAUUUCCUCCUGCCAUACAUUUGCUAAGAGCUAUUCUUAUUCUUUCUCUCCUGGGGAUUUAACUGAGCUGUCUAAGAAGUAUGGCUGGUCACUGCCAGAGGCAAGAAGGAAAGGAAAUUCUUCCUGAGCAAGGGUGAAGAAGAGUCUGUGAACUGUCAGCAACAGAGACGAGCUCAGCAGCUUCUGCACAAAAGAUAACUCUGCCUUGAAAACCCAUGACCCGUCCGUGCUCCGAGCUGCUCAUGGUGCUUUCUCUGCCACUCCACUGCAUCCAGAAAAGUGGAUGGGCACCUUUACAUGAGGAACACUGCAACCAACGCUCAGGAGACUCUCUGAAGUGAGAACAGGACCUGUUACCUAGACCAGUUCCAGGCGGCAAAUAAAAGACAGCUGUGCUCUCUUCCUCUGCUGCUCCUGUGUGACCGAUCCAGCACCCAGAUGUGAGAGCUGCUGCUUCAUCGAAACUUUAAAGAAUAUGGAAGAAGAAUCAGAAAGAAUGAGGAGCAUUCUUCCCCCACAGCCCCAAGCUUGGUGACAAGCAAGGACUCAAGUCCAGAAGAUCUGUGACUGCCUUUACUCCCACUGCAGCAUUAAGAGAUUUUUUUUUUCCCAAGGAAGAUUAGCCCUGAGCCAACAUUCUUGCCCAUCCUCCUCUACCCUACACGUGGGACGCCUAACACAGCAUGGCUUGCCACACAGUGCCAUA